AUUGAACGCUGGCGGCAGGCCUAACACAUGCAAGUCGAGCGGAUGAUGGUAGCUUGCUAUCUGAUUCAGCGGCGGACGGGUGAGUAAUGCCUAGGAAUCUGCCUGGUAGUGGGGGACAACGUUUCGAAAGGAACGCUAAUACCGCAUACGUCCUACGGGAGAAAGUGGGGGAUCUUCGGACCUCACGCUAUCAGAUGAGCCUAGGUACGAUUAGCUAGUUGGUGAGGUAAAGGCUCACCAAGGCGACGAUCGUUAACUGGUCUGAGAGGAUGAUCGGUCACACUGGAACUGAGACACGGUCCAGACGCCGACGGGAGGCAGGAGUGGGGAAUAUUGGACAAUGGGCGAAAGCCUGAUCCAGCCAUGCCGCGUGUGUGAAGAAGGUCUUCGGAUUGUAAAGCACUUUAAGUUGGGAGGAAGGGCAGUAAGUUAAUACCUUGCUGCUUUGACGUUACCGACAGAAUAAGCACCGGCUAACUUCGUGCCAGCAGCCGCCGUAA
rnacentral:rRNA from 1 species